UUUACACGAGACAAUGUAUCCGGGACA
rnacentral:piRNA from 1 species